AAAAAAGAAUGUGUUUCAGCGGUCAAUGUUGGAUUUCUUUUAGUCGGAUUCGACCAUGCAGAUGUGGUACAACAGUCCACAUAAAGUGCAACAGACUUUAACCUCACAGGUUAAUGCAGCAAUGCUUUUCUU